rnacentral:rRNA from 1 species
CCUGGCUCAGAGCGAACGCUGGCGGCAGGCUUAACACAUGCAAGUCGAACGGGCUUCUUCGGAAGUCAGUGGCAGACGGGUGAGUAACAACGUGGGAACGUGCCCUUCGGUUCGGAAUAACUCAGGGAAACUUGAGCUAAUACCGGAUACGCCCUUAUGGGGAAAGGUUUACUGCCGAAGGAUCGGCCCGCGUCUGGUUAGCUUGUUGGUGGGGUAACGGCCUACCAAGGCGACGAUCAGUAGCUGGUCUGAGAGGAUGAUCAGCCACACUGGGACUGAGACACGGCCCAGACUCCUACGGGAGGCAGCAGAAGGG